UUUAAGUGUAGUUGUGGAUUUUUAUGUUCAACGUUUGAGCGUCCAUCUUAUUUGUAAUUUUUUAUGAUUAGUACUUUUAUUGUUAUUAGAUAAUAAAACAUGAAUAACACUUUACGUGUGAUUUUUUUUUAAUUUUUUAGUUAAGAUGGAUGGUAAAAACGUUGGGCAUGAAAACCCACAACUUCACCUAAA
rfam:Oryza punctata chromosome 12, whole genome shotgun sequence.